rnacentral:lncRNA from 1 species
GGGGGAUAUGGGGGGGUUAUGGGGGGAAGGGGGGGGGCUGAGACCCAUUUGGGGACAUUGAGACCCAUUUGGGGACAGUGGGAUCUGAUUUGGGGACAUUGAGGCCCAUUUGGGGACAGUGGGACCCUAUUUGGGGACAUUGAGACCCAUUUGGGAACAGUGGGAUCUGAUUUGGGGACAUUGAGGCCCAUUUGGGGACAUUGAGGCCCAUUUGGGGACAUUGAGGCCCAUUUGGGGACAGUGGGAUCUGAUUUGGGGACAUGGAGGCCCAUUUGGGGACAUUGCGACCCAAUUUUGGGGACAUCGAGGCCCAUUUGGGGACGUUGAGACCCAAUUUUGGGGACAUUGAGAUCUGAUUUGGGGACAAUGGGAUAUGAUAUGGGGCCAUUGAGACCCAUUUGGGGACGGUCCCAAAGGCGGCGGUGUCAGGUAGGGGACGGGGGGAUGUGGGGGGAUAUGGGGGGGUUAUGGGGGGAAGGGGGGGGCUGUGGGGCGCUGAGACCCAUUUGGGGACAGUGGGAUCAAAAUUGGGGACAUUGAGACCCAUUUGGGGACAGUGGGACCCUAUUUGGGGACAUUGAGACCCAUUUGGGGACAGUGGGAUCAGAAUUGGGGCCAUUGAGACCCAUUUGGGGACGGUCCCAAAGGCGGCGGUGUCAGGCCCCAUGGAGGCGCUGUGGGGCUCAGCCUUCCUGAUGGCGGCGCUGCUGCUGACCGCCGCCCUCUGCGUCCGCUGCCACCGCCAGCGCAGUCCUGGUGCUCCGCUGUACGACAGAGACAAGCCGAUGUCGGAACCGCCGCCUCACAGCUUCCAGAUCCUCCCCGUCGUGCGCCACCCUCAGAGCGCCCCCCCCCCACCCCGCGGAGCGGCGCCGGAGAUGAUCCUCAACCCGAACCCCAAUCUGCACAACCCCAACAUCCACCUCUCCUGGGGGACGCGCGGACACGGAGACGCGGGGUCCCCGCAGACCUCCCAGCAACGCCGCAUCUCCGCCACCCGCCCGGAGCCGGAGAGAGGGUCCCCAACGUGCGCCCCCGAGAGCGAGGACGACUACAGCAAUGAGGUCUACGCCUCCGGAUAUGUGAAGGUUCUCCCGGACGCUGAGGACGCGGCGCAGCGCAGCAACGGCAGCGCCACGGCCGACACCGCAGCACACGCCACCCCCCCCGAGCAAUAUGAGAACGUCCCCGAUGUCUCCCGCCACUCCCUGGGUGACAGCCUGGAGUACAUCAACGUCCCCACGGUGACGCCCAGCCCUGCAUCCCGCUACGGCAGCGACCGCGACAGCGACGCCGACGGCCCCCGACUACGAGAACGUGACCCCCCCACGCCCCCCAGGACCCCCAUAAUUUAUUGCUGCCCCACACGGAGCGCCCCGGGCUGACGCAACCUGAGAAGACGCCGCGACCCACAGAUCCCCAUAAGUGCCCCAUUAAAGCCCCACAUUCACCCCAUGGACCCUUAUGGGCACUCUCUCAGCCCCACAGAUGCCCCACUGACCCCAUGGCCGCCCCAUAGAUGCCAGGGCUGCCCCAUAGAUCCUAUGGGUCCCCACUGACCCCACAGACAUCCCACAGACCCCAUAGGCACCCCAUAGAUGCCAGGGCUGCCCCAUAGAUCCUAUGGGCACCCACUGACAUCCCACAGACCCCACAGCCGCCCCAUAGAUCCUAUGGGCACCCACUGACCCCACAGACAUCCCAGAGACCCCAUAGACACCCCAUAGAUCCUAUGGGCACCCACUGAC